GCGCCCGACCCCGGGAGGGUGGCGGAGAGGAGCGGACGCUUCCGUUCGGUGUCCGCGCAUCCUCCCCGAGCUGCCGAGCGUCCGCUGGGUCGAUGCUGGGUUGGGUGACCCCCGAGUGGAGCGAUGCGAAGGUGCUUCCUGUUUUCCCCACCACCUUCGGCGUUUUGAAGAGGCCCUGCUAAGGCUUGGAGUCUGGAUCGGACGCCAGUGGGAGCUGCAGGGUGGGACGCUUGAGGGCUUGACCCUGCCUAGAUCCUCCUUACCAAGAAAGGGCUGAAAAGAGAGGGCAUCUGGCAUGCUUUUUGCCACUUCUGUUUCUAGGUUAUGUACUUCAUGGAAUAUCUGGGCAUUGCUUAGAAACCUGUGUCAUAAAUUGGCUUUGGGCAAGAGGCUUUGAGUUGGAAGAAAAGGUGGAAAGAAAGUGCUUGGGGGCGGAGUUCAGGGAUUUGACGGGAUUGCCAGCGCUUCCAGGCCGUGUCAUCCAAGACCAGUGUGGUUGUGGGCACAUUAGCUUGGAGACAGUGGCAGCCUCUUGGGACUAACAUCUUUCUGGAUGUUGUUUGCUGCCAGUUCUUGAGUAUUGUUUCUUAUUUGGCACAGAGGAGAAUUCUCUCAACAAACGUUUUCGACUGUUUAUUGAGUCCCUUAAAAAACUGUCCAUUUAAUAAACAUUUGUGAUCUGUGAUUUGCAUUGAACGAGAUGCUGGAAGUAUGAGGAUAAAUAGGAAAUGAUCACCUUUCUCAAGGAGCUCUCCUGCAGUUUUCACUUCAAUAACUUGGACACGCCUGAAAGGGUUGUCCCACACGAAAAGAGAGAAAAGGAUAAUGAGGUUCUUUUGAUGCUGUAGUUUUUCCUGGGAAGACUAGGAAGGACUCUGAAUUUCAAAAGAGGUGAUUUCUCGCAUGAGCAUCUCUUCCAUCCUCCCUCCCUCCACAAGCUACAGUGAUGCAUGUAGCAGACACGGCACCUACAGAGUACGUGGUCCAAGCCAAUAAAGCUCAACAAAACCCAAGCAAAGAUGGAGCUUAUGGCCCUUACCCUUUGGAAAUAUCCCCAGAUUGGUUUAGAUUGAACCUGAAUUUGAAUAAAGAGAAGCAAAAUGUAGGGGGAAGAAGGAUUAUAAAAUAUUGGGAUUGAUAUUGGUAUCAGUGAUUUGAAGUUGAUUUCCAAGCUAUUCUGUUCAGUCAGAGGCUUUCUUAGCCUUUAACGGGAGAAGAGAAAUACGGUCAUGCGCUGUAUAACAAGGUUUCCAUCAACACCGCUCUCACGUACAAUCCCCUGAGACUACAGUGGGGCUGAGAAAUUCCUAUCACCUGGUGACAUCUUCAUGAUCCUGACCCUGUGUAGGCUUAGGC
rnacentral:lncRNA from 1 species